rnacentral:rRNA from 1 species
UACAGAGGGUGCAAGCGUUAAUCGGAAUUACUGGGCGUAAAGCGAGCGUAGUCGGUUAUUUAAGACAGAUGUGAAAUCCCCGGGCUUAACCUGGGAACUGCAUUUGUGACUGGCGGACUGGAGUAUGGCAGAGGGGGGUAGAAUUCCACGUGUAGCAGUGAAAUGCGUAGAGAUGUGGAGGAAUACCGAUGGCGAAGGCAGCCCCCUGGGCCAUAUGACGCUCAUGCACGAAAGCGUGGGGAGCAAACAGG